rnacentral:lncRNA from 1 species
AUCUUGUGUGGGAAAUUUCCCCCUGCAGGUUUAUGAAAGUGUUGGACCUUGUACAUCCGGUUUGCAUUUAGUCUAUUUUUCAGUGACUCAAGUUUUUGUAUGCUUAAGAAAGUCAAGGGGAGAGAUGAGCAAUAGUUUUCUGAGAUUUGAGAAAUUGUGAAGAAAAAGAAUCUAUAAUCUCCCAAACUCUUCUUUACUCUUGAAAGUAGAUUUUUUAAAAUAUUUAUUUUUUAGAAGUAGUUGGACACAAUAUCUUUAUUUUGUUUAUUUAUUUUUAUGUGGUGCUGAGGAUCGAACCCAGGUCCUCACAUGUGCUAGACGAGCACUCUACCGCUGAGCCACAAUCCCAGCCCCCUUGAAAGUAGAUUUUUAAAAGUUCUCUUAUCAAGAUAAGCCUUUCAAUUCCUACUUCAUUUGUGAAGACCUGGUCCAAUUGAGUCUGGAAGUAUUUCUCAUGCUUUCUUCCUUAAAUUAUAGUCUUUCAAUGCUCACCAUUGUAUAUUGAUAUCUAAAUAUAAAUUUGAAGUUAAUCUAUUUUUCUCUACCUUGCUGAGUUUUAAAAUUAACUGCAAAAUUAAAAUUUAUAUUCAUUAUAAUAAUCCAAACAAUAUGGGGAAGUCUAAAGAAAAAAUUACUGUUCCCUUUCUAUCAGUGAUAGAUUAUCCAAUAUGUAGAGCAAAUAUGUACUUUGGACACUCACAAAUAUGGGGUACUUCAAAAUUAUUUUGAAAGACUGUUAUAAUUAAUAUAUCAGAAG